rnacentral:rRNA from 1 species
AGUCGUAACAAGGUAACCGUAGGUGAACCUGCGGUUGGAUCAUUAUUGAUAUAACAGCGGUUGGUUUUCGGAUGGCUUUACUUGUAUCGCCGUCUGGCUUCCAGUCGUUAACACACUGUGAACUGUUUGUUUUUGGGCGUCUGGGCCGGCCUUUGGGCUAGCCUGGGUGUCUACCUUUAUUAAACCCCUUUACCAAUGACUUACCUUUUGAUAUCGAAUCAAAUACAACUUUUGACAACGGAUCUCUAGGCUCUCGCAACGAUGAAGAACGCAGCGAAAUGCGAUAUGUAAUGUGAAUUGCAGAAUUCCGUGAAUCAUCGAAUCUUUGAACGCACAUUGCGCCCUGGGUAACCAGGGCAUGCCUGUUUGAGAAUCUAUAGUACCAUUCUACGGUUAUUUCUAGCUUGCUAGGCGUAAUCGCAGAGACCUGACUGUUCCAGUUGCAAAACUGGUCGGUUUAAAUUCAUUGCUGUUUGGUUAUAGCGGUUAUGACCCUACCAGUGUGGAGUAUGCGAAUGGCUUUGCCUUUAAUAUUUCAUGCUAGCAGGUAGUCGCUAGGGCCAGGCACUUUACAGGAGUUUCGCAAGAAACCGACACAUGGUCUCAAAUCAGGCAGGAAGACCCGCUGAACUUAAGCAUAUCAAUAAGCGGAGGAAAAGAAACUAACAAGGAUUCCCCUAGUAACGGCGAGUGAAGCGGGAUGAGCUCAAAUUUGAAAUCUCCUAGGUUCCCUAGGCGAAUUGUAGUUUAGAGAAGCGUUUUCGGGUGGAAGUCUGGGACAAGUUCCUUGGAACAGGACAUCACAGAGGGUGAAAAUCCCGUCUUUGCCCAGACCAGUAGCCUAUGCGAUACGUUUUCCAAGAGUCGGUUUGUUUGGGAAUGCAGACCUAAAUGGGAGGUAAAUACCUUCUAAAGCUAAAUAUUGGCGAGAGACCGAUAGCGAACAAGUACCGUGAGGGAAAGAUGAAAAGAACUUUGAAAAGAGAGUUAAACAGUACGUGAAAUUGUCAAAAGGGAAACGUUUGGAAUCAGUAUUGUCUGGUCAAGUUCAGCCGUCUCUCGGGGCGGUGCAUUCUUGGCUGGGCAGGUCAACAUCGGUUUCUGGGGGAGUAAAAAGCUUGCGAAAGGUAGCCUCUCGGGGUGUUAUAGUCGUAGGAAAUGCUUUCUUGGGGACCGAGGACUGCGUGUAGUGUCGGCGCUGGGGGCCAUCUGAAGCACCUGCUGCGAAUGCUUGCACUCGUAGUGGACUGUUAGGGUGCUCUCUAGUUGCUAAUCUGCUCUAGGAUGUUGACGAAAUGGUUCUAAGCGACC